rnacentral:rRNA from 1 species
GUGUCAGCAGCCGCGGUAAUACAUGUGGGGCAAGCGUUGUUCGGAAUUACUGGGCAUAAAGGGUGCGUAGGCGGCGCGUCAAGUCACUGGUGAAAGUUUGCGGCCCAACCGUAAAAUUGCCGGCGAUACUGGCGUGCUCGAGUGCGUGAGGGGUUGGGGGAACGAGUGGUGUAGCGGUGAAAUGCGUAGAGAUCACUCGGAAGGCCAGAGCCGAAGGGGCCCAACUGGUACGCAACUGACGCUGAGGCACGAAAGCGUGGGGAGCAAACAGGAUUAGAAACCCUGGUAGUCC